CUCAGAUUGAACGCUGGCGGCAGGCCUAACACAUGCAAGUCGAGCGGCAGCACGGGUACUUGUACCUGGUGGCGAGCGGCGGACGGGUGAGUAAUGCCUAGGAAUCUGCCUGGUAGUGGGGGAUAACGCUCGGAAACGGACGCUAAUACCGCAUACGUCCUACGGGAGAAAGCAGGGGACCUUCGGGCCUUGCGCUAUCAGAUGAGCCUAGGUCGGAUUAGCUAGUUGGUGAGGUAAUGGCUCACCAAGGCGACGAUCCGUAACUGGUCUGAGAGGAUGAUCAGUCACACUGGAACUGAGACACGGUCCAGACUCCUACGGGAGGCAGCAGUGGGGAAUAUUGGACAAUGGGCGAAAGCCUGAUCCAGCCAUGCCGCGUGUGUGAAGAAGGUCUUCGGAUUGUAAAGCACUUUAAGUUGGGAGGAAGGGCAUUAACCUAAUACGUUGGUGUCUUGACGUUACCGACAGAAUAAGCACCGGCUAACUCUGUGCCAGCAGCCGCGGUAAUACAGAGGGUGCAAGCGUUAAUCGGAAUUACUGGGCGUAAAGCGCGCGUAGGUGGUUUGUUAAGUUGGAUGUGAAAUCCCCGGGCUCAACCUGGGAACUGCAUUCAAAACUGACAAGCUAGAGUAUGGUAGAGGGUGGUGGAAUUUCCUGUGUAGCGGUGAAAUGCGUAGAUAUAGGAAGGAA
rnacentral:rRNA from 1 species